AUGGAGACCUGUAUGAAUGGCAUGACGAGGGCUUGACUGUCUCCUUUUUCCAGUCAAUGAAAUUGAUCUCCCCGUGCAGAAGCGGGGAUAAUAACAUAAGACGAGAAGACCCUGUGGAGCUUUAGACACUAAGCCAGACCAUGUCAAAAACCCCUUAUCUAAAGGACUGAACUUAUUGGCCCCCUGUCCUGAUGUC
rnacentral:rRNA from 1 species